rnacentral:lncRNA from 1 species
AAACAUCUGAGCUCAGUGUGGGGGUGAGGGUAGGCUGAGAGGAAGCUCCGAAUGGAGAGAUCAAGAUUUAGAGGCAUAAAAAUAAGAGAUGCAUUGGAAGUGCUCCAGGAGGUAAAAAACAUGAGCUGAGAAGAGCCAGAGGAACAUUUUUGAAGAGGACUGGACACGUUCAGCUCCAGGAGAGGCAGUCGGUUUGCAGACCUAAGUCCAGCAGUAGAGAAGCUCCUCCUGGGGCCUUGGAGGUCACGCCAUGCCCCAGGAGGGCAGGUGCCCAGGCCAGAUGGAUAACCUGGUUACCUUUCCUGGAUUAAGGGGAGAGAAUACUUGGAGACAGUCACCUGUGUGGACUGAAGAGUGUGGUAUCUGGUAUGUGGAGGCUGGGGAGCAAGGAGAGUGAGGAAGAGCAGACAGCUGCUCUAGGAUGGUCCAUGCAUCUGGGUAAUGAUGAAGAUAAAACAGAAAUUAUCUGCUGGUCCUGGACUGACGACCACAGCAGCUGCCAGCUACUCUGCUCCCCUUUUGUGAGUAAGUGAAAGUGGUGGCAGGUGGGAAUUACUUUUCAAAGCUAAUUAGCUGGGUGUUAAUUCUCAUCAGAUGCUUAACAUAUCAGUGAAGUACAACCUGCAGCCCCAGUAAAUUUGCUUGCCCCACUGAUACCAUUCACUAUAAGUUAUUUAAGUCCUUCUCAGCUGUUUGAAUGCUCGUUUCAGGUUAGGCUUUGCAAGGAUUUGUUAAUUUGCUUCUGGUACUGCCAGAAUGCAUCAGGGCCAUUUCCAGCUAGAAGGAGACAUGCUUCCUGCUCCCCAGGCUGUAACGUGAAGCUGUUCCUACAUGAGAACCCUGAAGAAAAAGGAAAAGAGAGGCCCAUUUGCACGGCCUAUUUGUCUUUUUCUCUGUCACUAAUGGUAGCGGUGAAUGAAUGCGUACAGGAGCUGAGAACUGUGAAAUUUGUUUGUCUUGUAUGUGAAUGAGGAGUCUUCUGAUAAUAUUCCAGAAUAGAAAGUAGAUAAGGUGUUUUUUUGAAGAAAUCAGUGUAGAGAUUCUAGUGUAUCUCAUGAUUUUACAUUAAAUUUAUUGUUAUCUGAUUGAUUAGCACUCAAACUGUGUCACAACUCUAUCAGAUUCCCUCUUUUGUACAUUAAGAAAUAAUUCUAAUAAAUGUGGGUUAUUUUUAUUCUAAACA